ACGAACGCUGGCGGCGUGCUUCACACAUGCAAGUCGAACGCUGAAGCUCAGCUUUUGUUGGGUGGAUGAGUGGCGAACGGGUGAGUAACACGUGAGUAACCUGCCCCCUUCUUUGGGAUAACGCCCGGAAACGGGUGCUAAUACUGGAUAUUCACUGGUCUUCGCAUGGGGGUUGGUGGAAAGGGUUUUUCUGGUGGGGGAUGGGCUCGCGGCCUAUCAGCUUGUUGGUGGGGUGAUGGCCUACCAAGGCUUUGACGGGUAGCCGGCCUGAGAGGGUGACCGGUCACAUUGGGACUGAGAUACGGCCCAGACUCCUACGGGAGGCAGCAGUGGGGAAUAUUGCACAAUGGGCGCAAGCCUGAUGCAGCGACGCCGCGUGAGGAAUGGAGGCCUUCGGGUUGUGAACCUCUUUCGCUCAUGGUCAAGCCGCAACAAUGGUUGUGGUGAGGGUAGUGGGUAAAGAAGCGCCGGCUAACUACGUG
rnacentral:rRNA from 1 species